CGCGGCUGCUUCCAUGCAAGUCGAACGGCCGCGGACCUUCGGGUGCCGGCAAGUGGCGAACGGGUGAGUAAAGCAUCCCUUCGUACCCUAAAGUGGGGGAUAACUAUCCGAAAGGAUACCUAUUACCCCAUAUUCUAUGAGUAGGAAAGCGGAGGAUCUUCGGACCUCCCGCUCUACGAGCGGCCGAUGUCAUAUUACCUAGUUGGUGGGAUAAAGGCCUACCCUGGCAACAAUCUGUACCGGGUCUGAAAGGAUGAUCCGCCCCACUGGGACUGAGACGCGGCCCAGACUCCUACUGGAGGCAGCAGUGGGGAAUUUUGGACCAUGGGGGCAACCCUGAUCCAGCCCUGCCGCGUGAGUGAAUAAUGCCUUCGGGUUGAAAAGCUCUUUCCGCCGGGAAUAAAUCGCACGGGCUAAUACCUUGUGUGGAUGACGGUACCGGAAUAACAACCACCGGCUAACUACGUGCCGGCCGCCGCGGUAAUACAUAUGGUGCGAGCGUUAAUCGGAAUUACUGGUCUUUAAGCGUGCGCAGGCGGUUUUUUAAUACAGGCGUGAACUCCCCGGGCUUAUCCUGGGAUCUGCUCUUGUGAAUGGAAGGCUAGAUUACCGCGUAGGGGGGUGGAAUUUCACGUGUAGCAGUGACAUGCAUAGAGAUGUGGAGGAACUGCGAUGACGAAGGCACUCCCGUGGGACGAUACUGACACUCAUGCACAAAAGCGUGCCUGAGCAAACAGGAUUAUAUACCCUGGUACUCCACUGCCCUAGACGAUGUCAACUAUUUGUUGCGUAGGGUAAAACCCUGUAUAGUGACGUACCU
rnacentral:rRNA from 1 species